GACGAACGCUGGCGGCGUGCCUAAUACAUGCAAGUCGAGCGGAAGUUGGAGAGCUUGCUCUUCAACUUUAGCGGCGGACGGGUGAGUAACACGUGGGCAACCUGCCCUGCAGAUCGGGAUAACUCCGGGAAACCGGUGCUAAUACCGAAUAGUUUUCGCCACCCCCUGGUUGCGUACGGAAAGACGGUUUCGGCUGUCACUGCAGGAUGGGCCCGCGGCGCAUUAGCUAGUUGGUGGGGUAACGGCCCACCAAGGCAACGAUGCGUAGCCGACCUGAGAGGGUGAUCGGCCACACUGGGACUGAGACACGGCCCAGACUCCUACGGGAGGCAGCAGUAGGGAAUCUUCCGCAAUGGACGAAAGUCUGACGGAGCAACGCCGCGUGAGUGACGAAGGUUUUCGGAUCGUAAAACUCUGUUGUGAGGGAAGAACAAGUACCAACUAACUACUGGUACCUUGACGGUACCUCACCAGAAAGCCACGGCUAACUACGUGCCAGCCGCCGCGGUAAGAC
rnacentral:rRNA from 1 species